rnacentral:tRNA from 1 species
GGUAGUGUAGUGUAAUGGAUAAGCAUGUUGGGUUAGGAAUCAAAAGUUUUGGGUUAUAGUUCCAGCUCUGCUA